rnacentral:rRNA from 1 species
GGCUUAUAAUUGAAGUCUGGCAUGAAUGAAUUAAUGGGGAGUUACUGUCUUUUUGGGUUUUCAAGAACUUACUUAACAAGUGAAAAUACUUGUAAAUAAAUAAUAGACGAGAAGACCCUAGAAAUUUUUUUAAUAUUGGUUUUAUAUCUAAUUAAUUUUGCUGGGGCGGCAGAAUAACAUUAAACUUAUUUUAAUAAAUUUGAACUAUCUAUUGAGUAAAAGUAAAUUACUCUAGGGAUAACAGCAUAAUUUUACAAAGUUUGUGACCUCGAUGUUGGACUAGGGACUUUAGUGUUUAGAAGAUACUAAAUCAGGCUCUGU